rnacentral:rRNA from 1 species
UACGAAGGGGGCUAGCGUUGUUCGGAUUUACUGGGCGUAAAGCGCACGUAGGCGGAUCGUUAAGUCGGGGGUGAAAUCCUGGAGCUCAACUCCAGAACUGCCUCCGAUACUGGCAGUCUCGAGUGCGGGAGAGGUGAGUGGAAUUCCCAGUGUAGAGGUGAAAUUCGUGGAUAUUGGGAAGAACACCAGUGGCGAAGGCGGCUCACUGGCCCGUAACUGACGCUGAUGCGCGAAAGCCAGGGGAGCGAACGGG